UUAGGCUGGUGCAAAAGUAAUUGUGGUUUUUGCCAUUGAAAGUAAUGGAAAAACCACAAUUACUUUUGCACCAGCCCAAUACAAA
rnacentral:miRNA from 10 species